rnacentral:lncRNA from 1 species
UGGCUCAUAUAGCACCUGUUUUCAGAGAAAAUCAGCAGUACCAGCAUCAUAACCAGCAAUAGCAACAUCAACAGUAUCAACAACAACAACACCGUCCUCAACAACAGGCCUACCAACCUCGAAACAAUAAUCAGACCAGUACAAGCUAUGAUAGGAAGAGGGUUAGUUUGGAUCCUAUUCCCAUGACCUAUGCAAAGCUAUAUCCUUCUUUGAUAGAGAGGAAACUGAUCAC